CCUACGGGAGGCAGCAGUGGGGAAUAUUGCGCAAUGGGCGAAAGCCUGACGCAGCGACGCCGCGUGAGGGAUGAAGGUCUUCGGAUCGUAAACCUCUGUCAGCAGGGAAGAACGGUCACUGUGCUAAUCAGCAGUGCAUUGACGGUACCUGCAAAGGAAGCACCGGCUAACUCCGUGCCAGCAGCCGCGGUAAUCCGGAGGGUGCGAGCGUUAAUCGGAAUUACUGGGCGUAAAGCGCUCGUAGGCGGUAGGUCAAGUCAAGGGUGAAAUCCCCGCGCUCAACGUGGGAACUGCCUUUGAAACUGGGAAACUGGAGUGUGUGAGAGGAUAGUGGAAUUCCAGGUGUAGGAGUGAAAUCCGUAGAUAUCUGUAGGAACAUCAGGGGCGAAGGCGACUAUCUGGCACAUAACUGACGCUGAGGAGCGAAAGCGUGGGUAGCAAACAGGAUUAGAUACCCCUGUAGUC
rnacentral:rRNA from 1 species